CUGGGUUGGGCUAGGGCAGGGGCUGGGGGCUGGGGGCUUGAAGCUGGGGCAGGGGGCAGGGGCAAGGCAGCAGUGUUUGCUAGGUCUUAAGAAACUGCAUGCUACAGCAGCAAGAAACCACAAAAAGUUGAAAUGUAGACAUUAAUGUUCCAAUAGUAAGUCUGAUAGAGGACAUUAGACCACUACAACUCAAGGCUCCUGCCUGUUGAGUCUAGGCAUGCAUUGGUCAUUGUAACAUCAAAGAUGGUUAGAAAAGCAAAGCCAGGACUGAUGUAGAUCUUCAAAUACUCCUUUUGCUAGCCAGUCACAAAACUAACUUUAACAGUAUCUGUGUCACAAGACUCUUAAAUUUUUAAAGAGUUCAAUAGAUCAGUUAGAAAGAAAGUAAAUUUAAGAACCAAAUAAUUUGAGUAUCAUCUGCCAAAAAAGUUAAUGAUUGUAAAAGAAACUAAAAACUUUGAGGACUCUGAAGCGACAACUCAUUAAAGUAAACAAAGUCCCUAAAUGCAUUUCUAUAAUAAUCACUCCAACUUGAAAUGCAAGCACUAGCAAACCGCACUAUCAGACUUGUUGCUGACAUCGACAACAAAUAUACAUCAAAAUUCAACCCGAGCAUUAGCCAAGGGUUAGAUGAUCCUCUGGAGGAAAGUAGAAGUCCACCUCUGGGCCAGUGAUUUCUUUGUGGUCCAUUAUGACUCUGGCUAGGGUCGACCACUAAGCCCACAGCAGACCUGGAGAACUAGCUUGAGAUCGCAGUUCUCCGCUUAAAUUAGCGGCCGGGGAGUGAGUAGACAAGUCUUAGGCACUGAACCAAUAUAAAGGAAUGGGGUGAAGCUUAGCUUGUACCACCAUAGAUAGAACACUGCAAAAGACUACCUUAGACAAAUAGGAGGGCAAGUGAAUAGGUCAACUGUUUGAAAUGAUCUUAGGUACUACUCUCGGGGAGAUACUUUAACUUGACCUCAUCACUGAUUCUCUUCUUUCUUUUAAUAGGUGGGGUUUCAGUCAGCAACCCACAUGGACCUCAACCUCAGGAACCUCUAGCCUCAAGUCUCUCAAAUCACAUCAUCAUUCAACACCUCAAAUGUUAGAAUCACAAGCAUGUGCUCUCGUACCCAGCUAGACACUUCAAAUAACGAUGACUAGAGACAGAUGUGAGGUACCAAGGUAACUCAAGUCCUUGCAGGACAGUGAGUCUUCACAAUCGACUACCAUCCUCUACACGAAGUAGUAGGGCUCAUUUUUGACUAGUUAAGUCAAGAGGCAACCAACACUUCCAAAGCAGUACCCAUUUCUGAUUAAGUCAGUGGGCUUCGAGUGGCACAAGGUAGAACCAACCACUUGCUAUCUCAAUGCACCAAAUUCACCUUGGGCAAAGCCCUCAAAAACACUCUCAAAGCCCACAAAGACCCCUCAAAAGCCCGCCAAGGCUGUACCCCUUGAGGGUUGGUCACAUGAUAAACCGCCAUCUUAGCCACUCAGGACCAUGUGCCACAUUGUCCCCUAGGCUAACUCAGCCACCAAACUACCUAAUGUAAAAAACAAAGCGUUAUCCUGCAGCAAGAGCUUGAGCUCCAUCUUCUCUUAUAUAACCUAAAUGCCCUACCUCCGUGCUAAAUGUUAGAACCAAGAUUGGGCUGUCGAGCUUCGGGCACAGGGUGCGAGACGCCAUUUUGUAGACAUUAACAAGCGUCCGUUAGAACUGGACAGAGCUCCCCAGCGAUAUCGAAAUGUCCAUUUCAAGCCCUAUCCUGAAGUCCUGUACCUUUCACCUAACACCACACACGAACACAACAGCUCCUUGGUUUUUUGCUUUCGGGUACCACGAUUCUUAAGAAAACCCACAAAGCAAGUCCAAACCCACACAUAAAAAGCCUUUAGCUGCUGUAGCACAAAUGAUUGCCUCUGUCCAGUCCAGUGUCCACCUCGACUCCCUAAUUCUUGGCUCGAGAAUGGCUAUAUCAUGCAGCAAACAUAAAAUGGCGGACACGGACUCUCCACGCCCUGAACACCCACUCAGCUCAAGCAUAAAGUCAUUUUCCCAAGCCAUAGGUUCACUCACACACAACCAAAUGACCAGCAGCAGCAGCAAGAGGCAAGAAAAAAAGGUAUGAAUAUUCCAGAUAGGGCAGUAACUCACAAAACCAACAUUUCCAUCCACUAAAAGCCCCGAUGGGCAAUGAAAACAAAAUUUGAGCAGGUAUCCACAGCCCCGAUGGGCAAAAAGAAAACAAAAAUUAAGCAGGUAUCCGAGGCCCCGAUGGGCAAGGAAAAAGCCUAAACCCAGGUAUCCGAGGUCCCGAUGGACCAAGAAAUUUCAGUUUUUGUAAAAAGCAGGUAUCCAUGGCCCCGAUGGGCUAAGGGGGGGAAAAAAAAAAUAAAAGCAGGUAUCCACAGCCCGGAUGGGCAAGUUUUCUAAGACUAAAAAGAAGAAAAAGAAGAGGGGAAAAAAAAAAACCAAAAAGGAUGAAAAGGCAGGUAAGUAUCCACAGCCCCGUUGGGCAUGGAGCGAGAAACGAAAGGACACACAGGUAUCCGUGGCCCGGAUGGGCAAAAAUAUAGAAAUAGAGUAAAAGAAAGGUAAGUCCACACAAGAGGAGGCAACAAAGUGCCUGAGAAAUAUUCAUCAAAAAUGAAAAUUGUCUAAAUAUUUAAAAAAUAUCAAAAUAUGAAGGACGUGUCAAUAAAAGCCUGCCAGAACACAUAAAAUCUUCAAAACCAUUUGGUGGACUCUUGAUAUAUUUUCUUAAACACACCACAAGGCAUGGUGGUAGGGGAACCAAAAAUGUUCCCAGAGACCCUAUCAUAUAGGGAUAGACCCUUGAGGGUCCUCAUAUGCACGGAAUACUGGCAAAACAUGGCUGCAGCAAGCAGUUGCACGGUUUUAACAGACCGGAGCGCUGAAGGCGGAGAGAUCAGAAGAGGAGUGGCCACAAAUGCGGAAGAUUACGGAAUCUUAUUGGAGGUUUAGCACAAACUAUAUUCUUUAAAAAGAAUAAUUAAUAUGUAGAAUAAACAUGACGGUACCAAAACUCAAUGACAACCAAAUUUCCUUUAUUUUAUGUGAUAUUGACGGAAUCCUCUACUUUAUAGCUUAUGGGAAAGGCACAUAAACGGUCAGACAAUGUAUGGUAGGUCACACAUCAUGUAUAUAUGCAUAUUUGCUACAUAUCGUCUACUUGGAUAUCUCACCUUGUACGUCUUGGAGACGAAAAGUUCUCAUGGAUUAAUUGGUGAGCUAGAGGUAAGAAAACAGAGGAGUUACUUCACAAAAUGGCCCCGUAGUCCCUAAAUUAUCAGGCAGUCAAAUUGGUUGUGAACUAUUUGCACAGCAGAGUUUUGGGUCAUCGUUUUCGCACUUUCUCUGGGGAAUCUGAUGACUCCAAACCUUGAACCAAAAAUUCAGUAAAGAUGUUUAAAGAUGUUUACUCACUAGCAGUGACAGAAAAUUAAUUCCUAAAAGUCAAAACAAAGAUUGAUGGAAUAGCUCAGUGAUAUAGUACUUGCCCUAGGGAAACAGUUAACUUAGAGAACUGUCAAAUUUUAUUCAUUGAGAAACACUGGAUAGCCGCCUGAAAGAGAUUACACACCAGGUGUUAGAAAAUCAAAGAAUACACUGUCUUCUUGUUGAUUCAACUAAACAAAGUGAAUCUCAUCUUACUCUAAAUUAUGUUUAGGCAUCAGAUGAAUAACAAAGUGCAUAAAAUUGUUUUGCUUAGGGACCUUCCAAGUACCUGCAAUUCACUAAUCUAGACAUCGUGGUAGUUCAGGUAAGGACGGAAGGUCUCUGUUACAAAAGAAGAAAUUCUGUCUCAACAAAAGAAAAUGAAAAUAAUAAAUAAAUGAAUGUUACACACAGCCCGAAUGAGCCAGCAGAUGGCAGCAUGAAUCUUUCAAAGGCAUUUGAAGCCUGACUGGGAGUACAAAAAGAUUAAUAUCUGAAUUGAAGAUCAAAGGCUACUUUGACAACACCAAGUGAAAGAGUCAGAGUUUUCCCUACUUCAAGGCAAUAAUGCUAAUGAUGGAACAAUCAGGAGGUACAGGGGAAACCUCCAAAAUCAUUACUAGUGAUAAUUAGUCAGAGAUGGGAACAUGUUACAGAAAAACAAAAAGAUCAAAGAAGGGCUGUCUCCAAAAUGUAUGUGGCUUUGUAUAAAUGAGGUCUUCUAACUUAGAACUUGGGGGUACUGAUCACGGUGUAUACAAGCCAGUGUGCCAUUUGCGGGGAUGUCAAAGACAAUCAUCUGUCCUCUACAUAGCUCCAAUUCCUACAAACUUCAUUAUUCUAGCACAUACCAUAUACUUCAAGGUAUGUCAGGGUUGUGAGACAUUCUUACACUAGAAGCAUGAAAUGAUGUGUCAAAGCUCAGUUCAUGUACACUUAACUAGGCAAUUCAUUGUACAUUCUUAACAGAGAUGAAGCGCACUAUAGUGAAGCAUCUUGUGUAAGAUGGUAUUGUUGAGGUCUUCUAUAGGUAAAUGUGAAGAGUCAGAGAAAAAGAAGAUUAGGAGCCAAGAGAGAGGUGACAGGACCACUAAAGCACAGAAACAGGAAGGGAAGAAAUGGUUCGCCAAAGCACAGAGAGACUGGAACACUCAGUCCUAGAUGUCUUUAUCAAGCCCUUUCUCUCAAGGCUCGGGUCUAUGAAGAAAAAGAGUCUGAAAUACUGUCAGCCAGAAUCGGUGAAUGACUCCAGGGAAACAACAUCAUUCAGACACAACAGGACUGGUUUGGUUUUGUUUUUUAAGGAAAAGAACAUGAAAACAUGAAGUUGGUUGAGUGAGGAAGAGUAGGAGGAAGGAAAAAUGAUAGAAAUGGAUGGUAUGAAAAAGUUUUAAAGGAAGAAAUUGAUCUACAUGACACCCAGCUUCAAAUGAAUAAACAAGUUAUACAAUGAGAUACGAUAGACUAGAGGCCCUAGAAUCAAAUAUUACAACUAUAGGCAUUGGAUUCUUGACAAAGGUGCCAAAAACCAUAUGUUUGAGACAUACAGUCACUUCAAGUGAUGAACAAAGGAGUCACGGCUACAGAAUCGGCUGACCUGAGCUAGUGAGAGAUCACUGGCUCUGAUCUAAUAAAUGGGGAACCAAACUAGUCUCCCUUAAUAAAGGUGACAAUGGUGUGACGGACAGUAUAUGAGACCACUGGCAGUGGGUCCAAGAUCUAACACGAAUGCACAAACUAUUCUAUAUGGAGAGAUACCUUGUUCAGCCUAGACACAAGGGUGUGGGGGUGGAGAGGUGCUUUGGCCCUGCCUCAAUGAGAUGAUGGGACAGACUUAGUAGACUUUUGAGGGGUACUCUCUGAGGACCAAAUGGGAGGUAAGUUGAGGGAGGAGGGACCCAACUUCAAGUUUCUGACCCACAUCAAGUGACUUGUAACCACCUAUAAUUCCAGCUCCAAAGGAAGUUUUAUUCUGGCCCCCAUGGGCACCCUUACAAAUGUGGCAUAAACAUACACAUGUACACACAUAUUUAGAUAAAGUAGAGUGCUUACUCUACAUGCACAAAGCCCUAAAUUCAAAUCCCCAGCAUUCACAUGAAAGUAGCCAUGGAAGCACAUGUCUUAUCCCAAAAUGAGCUUAAAGCCAUAGGAGCAGAAUGUUGGAGGCUAUCCUUGGCUACAUGGUGUGUUUGAGGCUAGUCUGUGCUAUAUGAGACCCGGUCUUUUCAAAGUACCAUUUCUUCACCCCGUGAAAUAAUCGCAAGACUUGACAAGUGGGGUUGAACCGAGCUUAAGAGGCAUUUACACACUUAAGGAAAUAGCUUCCAGAGUGAAGAGUUAGCCUAUAGGACAGCAGCCUUUUCUAACCAUUCAUAUCUAGUUUUAAACAUGUUCAUUCACGUGUGUUUAGGGAGAGAGUACUCGCAUGUGAGUGUUCUUGCCCAUGUAGUCUAAUUUGACCCUUAACAGUCACACCUGCCUAUCAGAAUAGUUCAAGUCAAAAUUGGGCCAACAUAGUUCAGCUGCGUUGCAUGUGGCUUUUCUGUUCCUCUCUGAAGCUAAUAAGUAAAAAUACUAAAUUUAAAAGCAUCUUAAGUUCUCAUGUGGAUUGUUAGUGUCUUCUGUGACUCUUGCUUCUAUAAACUCUAAUAAAUGGAUUAUUGCUAGAAAACUGUCUCACUAGCUAUGUGCCUGGUGCCUUUAUUCAGAUGAUGUGACCAUGUUAUGUUGUAUUCACUGUUUACUUCCAAAUCUAUGACUAAAAUUUCCUGUUUACAUAACCACACUUCUAAGAGAAGCUGGUGCGCUCAGAUGUGAUGUAAUAUCCACGAUUUGAUGUCUUACAGGCACUGAUGUAAAAGAAGCAUUUCAGUGGGCAUACAUUUUCCAGUGAUGCAUACCCUCCUGUAACUGCCACACCGAUUUUUUCUUCCAGCUGCUUUCCUUUACCUGCGAGAGGAGGCUAAUAAGAUACAUGGUUUGCUUGGCUUGUUUGAUAUUCUGCGCUUUCUGAAACCAUUUAUUUCUGUGUAUACAAAUAUACUGCCAGCAUGAAAGUGAAUCGCAUUUGUGCCUGAUGCCCACGGAAUCCAAAAGCGUGUCAGGUCCCAAAUGCUGGAGGUAAGGACACUUGUAAGAUGCUCCAUGGCUGCUAGAACCUGGAUCCAGCGCCUUUGCAAGAACAGCAGGUGCCCUUCAUCUCUGUCCCAUCUCUCCAGCCCAAAAGUUCUUAUUUGUCUUCGAUAGAUUCAGUGUGCACCGCCCCCCACCAACACCUGUAGCAGGUGGGAGAGCUGGUCCUGAGGUCAUCAGAAUGGGAGAGCCCCUCACUGGCUGCCACACUCUGGAGAACAGUGCGGGGCAGCACACUAGAGCUGACCCUGUUGGAGGGAGCACAUGAGAAAUGGUCCCAUCCUUUCCUCCUCGCUGCAUAGAGUGAAGUACUAGUAAGGUCACUACUGGAGAGCUCACCCCUUAGUGAGGAUAGGGGAAAGUUGAUAGGCUGUCCAACCCUGCAACCAGGCCCAGAACUCGGGUUAGCUCACACCAUCUAUGAUCUGCUGGAGCAUAUGAAGGGACACAGCCUGCAGUUCCAAAACUACAGGAUCUCCCAAACACAGAGCAACAACAGGAUGUCCAAGCAAGGGCCCAGUAUUGAUAGUGCAACAGACACCAGAGGCCUCGAACCAAACCAAUGAUUCUUAAUGAACACUUGCAAAUAAGGAUACAUGGACUAAAGAUUAUACUGUAUGACUCGCUGUCACACUACAGCUUCUACUACAACAUUUUCCCCAUUUUUUCUUUGCUCUUUUAUUUUUUGGGGGGAGUUGCAAGGGCAGAGGGUAGCUAUGAAAUAAUGGUGAGUUGGGUUAUAUGAUGUGAAAGCCACAAAGGAUAAGUAAGUUUUUAAAAAUUUAGUUGGCCAUAUCUGAUUUUUUUAUUUGCUGUAUCACUACUUUAUUCCUUAUACUGAGCUAACUAUAACACACAUAAGACGAAGGAAAUUGUUUCUGUAUACAAAACAAAAAAUAACUUGGAAAUAUGAAUGUAAACAAGAAGUAAAAGAAACAUUGGCUACAUACUAAAUGAUAUCUAUUUUAUGAAAAUACUAGAUCACAUAUUCUAUCCUGUGCAUUUUGAAAAGAUAUAUGAACACAAACUGACAAGAUAAGCAUACAAAUUUUUUAAGUCUUCCCCAAACGAUAAAUGACAAAAAAUGCAACUGAAAAUAUUAAUAUUUUACUUUUCAAUUAAAUGUCUUGAAAUUUAUCAGUUUUAAAAAAUCAUAAUGGUCUACAGAGCAAGUUCCAGGACAGCCUCCAAAACAAUACAGAGAAACUCUGUCUCGAAAAACAAAAAAAAAAAAAGUAUAACUUAGAAUAUUAAAAUUUGAAAGCCCAUAAACUAAAAUAAUUGCAUAUUAAAGACCACUGGCAGUUCAUAUCUGAUCUUUUCAACUUCCUUCAUUGCAUUAGAGUUUUAUUCUAUAGCUCUCUCAGGUGUUCCACGGGCUCAUUUUUCAGGGUUAAAUGAGUUGUCCUCUGUUGGCUCUUUGUUAGCUGCUUUCCAAAAGGCUUUGGUCCACCCGAACUUUCAAGGAUGUUCCUUUGUAAGUUUUUGUGACUUUGGGGUUUGCAGAAUCUGAACACUUUGUAGUGGCUGUGGGUGAACAUCAUACCAUGGCCAGGAUAAAUGGGUCCUGGACAGAAAUAGCAGUUCUCCCCAUGGAUAACAAACAUGGAAACCUACAUGCAAUCCGCCUUUAUCAGGGAAGGGGGAAUGUAGUUUGAGGCACAGUCACAUUUAGCUGCGGCUACCUUCAAAAUUUUGGUAGCCAAGUAUGGCCUUGAACUCCUGAUCCUGCUGCCUCCACUUGCCAUCAUGGUUGACUCUGGUCAUUUUAAGAACUAGACUUUGUGUGGUAUGUAUAUAUGUGUGUAUGGUAUGUUCAUGUGGGUAUAUGCACAUAUAUGAGUGUAUUCCACGCUUGUUUGUAUUGUUAUAUUCAGAUGCUUGAGUGCACGUGUCAAUGCUACACGCACACACAUGUGUGUGUGCGCAAAUACUUGCAGAAGCUGGAAAGAAAUAUCACAUCCCCUGGAAUUGGAAUUACCAGCUGUGAUUGGCAUGAAUGCAUUUGGAGACCAGAUCAGAGAGCAGCAUCAACUGACCUACCCAGGACUAAAUGAAGUUACAGACAUACUACUGCCCUCAAUUUUUUUUUUUGUAAUAAGGACCUAAACUCAGAUUGUCAUGCUUGUAAGGCCAGCACUUUACUGACUGAAUCAGCUAUCCUGCUGUAACUAGACCUUUGAAUUACUUGACAUUUAAACAUUUCAAAGUGUUUGGAGUCAGUCAGAAGCAACAAACAUUUGGAGGAGUCAGACUUUAUAUUAUUAUAUUUCUACUUUGUGAUCUGAGCACGUUUUGAGAUACUAUCUCUUCUGGUUUUAUAUGAAGAUGGGGGUGUCUUUGUCGUGAGAAAUUUCCCUCAGAGUCUUAGGCUCUAGUACUACUCUCUGAAGAGAAAAACAAACUGCAGUGACAACUUCAAAAGAGGUACUUACAGAAAUACAAUAAAUACAAAUGAGCAGAGGUAGACGAGUGACUUACACCUGUAAUCUUACCACUGGAGAGGCAGAGGCCGGAAGAUCGCCAUGAGUUUCAGGUCAACCUGAGUUACCCUAUUUCAACAAGUUGAGGCUGAUGAGAUGGCUGGGUGUAUAAAAGUGCUUGACAUUGACAUGCAAGCAUGUAACCCUAACUUCAACUCUCUAGAACCCACAAUAAAGCCAGAUGCAUAACCCCAGCACUACUACAGAGACAUUGGGAGUUGAGGCAGGAUACUUACCUGAAGUUUGUGGGCCAGCUAGGCUGGCAUGCAUAAUGGAAAAACAAACCGUGUUUCAAUCCACUGACACGUAAGGUUGUCUUUGGCUUCCCCUACAUGAUCUCACCUAACGAGUGGUCAGGCCAGAAGAUCAGCAGGGUAAUCAUCACUUAAUUUCUGUACAUUUCUGGUGCCCUUUGACCUAUGACUAAGAAACAAGUUCCUUCCAUGAGGUUGUUCUGAUUUAAGCUGGAUAUGUUGGCUCACUGCUGUAAUCCUGGCAUGUUGAAAAGUUGAUACAUAAAGAUCAACGGCUCAAAGUUAUCCUCAGAUAUAGCAAGUUUGUGGUCAGUCUGAGCUUCAUAAGACCCUGUCUUUUGCCAGGCAAUCAUGGCACACACUUUUAAUCCCAGCAGUUGGGAGGUAGAGCCAGUUCGAAGCCAGUUUUGCCUACAGAGCCAGUUCCAGGACACAGAAACCCUGUGAAAAAAAAAAAAUCAAAGCCAAAAACAAGCAAACAAAAAACAAAGACCCUCUUUUAAAAAGCAAAACCAACCACACCAACAAAUACAUGUAUGUAUGUAUGUAUAUCAGGAUAGUAGCACAUACAUAAUAUCAUGAAAGCAGUCAGCCUGGAAUUUGUCCAUUAUAGUGGGCUUCUGUCCUUGUUACUGGGGGUCCUAUGCCUUGGGACUCCUUAGUAUGAAGUUCACUGCCACUUACAUAUUCUGAAUUUAAAUGAGCACAUUUUAUUUUUAACGGUUGCUUAAUUAAGGUGUAUGGGUAUGGAGGCCAGAUGAGAGUGUCUAGUCUCCUGGAGCUGAGGUUAAAAGCAGUUGUGAGCAACCUGAUACAGGUUCUGGGAACCAUAACACAGUCACACAUUCAUGCACACACACAUACUGACAUCAGUCUUUAGUUAUCCAUCUAUUGUGAGAAGCAUGAUGUUCAAACGUUUUCCAAGAGUCUACAGUGUGGUUUUUUUUUCAUUUUUUUUACUUCAUAUAUUUCAAAACCAAAUAUUUUAAUCUUCAUAUGCCACUGUUGGUUACCGUUUUUCAUGCUUUUGCUGUCAUAAACAAUAAUUCUUUGCACUAUAUCUGAAAGAUGUUCACCUACACCUCUUGGGUUAUUCUAGUAUCAUGCACUGAGAAGAUUGUCUUUGCUCCACUGAAUUGCUUUUGCAGCUUUGGCCAACUUGGCAGCUUGAAGGGGGUAAGGAUGUGGGGUGCUGAGGGGAAGCACUGCCUGACCACCUGACCAAGUUGCUCAAGAGAAAAUCAGACUAGGAAGAGAUCUGUUAAUCCUGCUCCCAAAAAGUGGAAAUGAAGCCAAAGAAAAAGAAAGAAAGAGAAAUCCUCAGACCAAAAGUUACUAGCCUAAGGAAAGCAGGGAGCAACCAGGAACAGAGGGAAAAAAUGAACCAAGAAACUGGCUGAGCAAGAAACUGGCUGCAGAAAAUGGAGACUGAAAACCAGAAACCUCUCUGUCAAGAGGAGAGAACCACAUCUGCUCUUCACACCUGUCUGUCUUGUCAGGGUCCCCAUCUCCCUUCUGGCAUAGCCGGAGGAUUGCUUUUAGCAACUGUGUUGUAAAUGCCAAUGCAUGCUAACCACUUAGUCCUCCAGCUCCCCACUAUCUUGCACACACUUCUCCCUUUCUCCAAAUCUCUCUCUCAUAUGCUAGUCUAUUUGCUUUGGUUUUGUGCCCCUCUGAGAUUCAUCAGAGUCAUCUGUGUGACCCCAGAUUUGGUACUACCUGUUUGAGGCUGGUGGAUUCAGUAUAGGAGACACAACUAAAAGCAGCGGUUCUCCUCCCCUCAAAUCUAUAAAUAGUCAAUAGUUCAGAGGUAUAGCGCAGGGCCUGUCCCCUUACUUGACUGUUGGUACGGCGGGACUUGUGUUGGUUCAGUAUAGGUAACUAAAGUUAGUGCGAGUUAAUGAUUACAGUGAUUGUAUUGAGUACAGAGAAAGGCAUUUUUACAGCCCUUCACCCUAUCUUCUGCCUAAACAUGAUCUGAACAAGAACGACACCAGUGGACAGGCUAAUAUGGAAGGGGGAUUCAUGAAGUCUUAACCCUAGAAAAAGAACUACAGGCAACUACGGAAAGCUGAGAGCAGAAGAGAUAGUCUUUCCCAGGGAAGACCACACCAAUUGGUUAUCCAAUACCAAGUGAUCAGUCCUGAAAACAUACACACAAGUGACAUUGUAUAGACUGAGCAGCUGUUCGUAUAUUUAGGAACACACACAAUUAAAAGGAGGCCAUGAAUUUGAAAGAGAGAAAUAGGGGUGGCAAGGUGUGCAUGGGCAGGUUUGGAGGGAAGAAAAGGACAGGGAAAAUGAUGUAAUUUCAUUAUAAUGUCAAUAAAUAAAAAAUUUUUUUAAAUCUCCUAA